rnacentral:rRNA from 1 species
AUGACGAGCUCGUCGCCGGAGCCGAUAUGUGCAUCGGCCGGCCUUCAGCGCUUCGUUGGAGCAGUAGCAGCCGGAAGCAGCGGCAGCAGCAUGGGCAAGCAGCAGCGCCAUGGAGAAGCAGCGACAAGCAGUAGUGGAGGCAUCAGCAAGCAGGAGCAGCUCGAGGAGGGGAUGGGAGGCCGCGGCGGCCGAGGGCCAGUGGCCGUCAUGGCGCACGGGGCGCAACGCGGGCUUGCUCAGAUGGGGGCGGGGCAAGGAAGGGAGAGCUGGAGGGGUGUGGCGGAGCUCCGGCUCGCCGGUGGCGGUCGCCGGCUGGGUGGAAGCUCCUGCAGUGGGAAUUGGGGAUUUUGUCUUUUCUCAUUAGGAAUUUAUAAGUGA